rnacentral:rRNA from 1 species
GCCUUAUGAAAUUAUAUAAGGUGGUGCCUGCCCAGUGUUUAUAUAAACGGCCGGGGUAUCAGUAGACCCUGAUAAAGUAGCGCAAUUAAUCGCCAUUUAAUUGAUGGAUAGUAUGAAUGGUAGAUUGAAUGUUCAUUAGUCUUUUUUAUUUAAAUUGAAAUUAAAAUAGUAGUGAAGAUUCUACUAUAUUUAGAAAGACGAGAAGACCCUAGGAGCUUGAUUAUAAAAAAAUAAUAUAAUUUGAUUGGGGCGAUCUGUUGUUAAUAAGAACAUACCAACAAAAGUAAAAAAAAAGGGUUUAAUAAUUGACAAAUUUUUAAAGAUAAAAUAUAAACUAAAGACCAUUUAAGAAUUUCAAUGGAAAAAGCUACCCUAGGGAUAACAGAGUAAUCUAAUUUAAAAGAACGCAUUGCUAAUUAGGUUUGCUACCUCGAUGUUGAAUUAAGACAUCCUAAUAUUGCAGAAGAUAUAAAGGGUAGGUCUGUUCGACCUUUAAAGUCUU